GACGAACGCUGGCGGCGUGCUUAACACAUGCAAGUCGAACGAUGAAGCCCAGCUUGCUGGGUGGAUUAGUGUCGCAAGGGUGAGUAACACGCGUGUAUCACGUCCUUGACUCUGGGAUAAGACUGGGAAACUGGGUCUCUUAUUGCAUAUAACUUCUCAUCGUGCGGUGGGGGGUGGAGAGAUUUUGUGGUGUUGGAUGGACUCGCGGCCUAUCAGCUUGUUGGUGGGGUAUUGGCUCACCAAGGCGCCGACGGGUAGCCGGCCUGAGAGGGUGACCGGCCACACUGGGACUGAGACACGGCCCAGACUCCUACGGGAGGCAGCAGUGGGGAAUAUUGCACAAUGGGCGGAAGCCUGAUGCAGCGACGCCGCGUGAGGGAUGACGGCCUUCGGGUUGUAAACCGCUUUCGGUAGGGAAGAAGCGAGAGUGACGGUACCUGCAGAAGAAGCGCCGGCUAACUACGUG
rnacentral:rRNA from 1 species